AUACCAUCACCCUCUUCAUCUUCGAUUCUCUGCGUCGCACCUCACACAACAAUGCUGGAGCGGUGUCUCGGAUCUCGCCGUCUCCGUCAGAUGCAGCGCGCAUUCCGCCGCGGCACUCUCACCUUCCUCUGUCUCUUCCUCACCGUCAUCGUCCUCCGUGGCACAAUUGGCGCCGGCAAAUUCGGAACUCCAGAACAAGACCUCAACGAGAUCCGUCAACAACUCUACUCACGUGGCCGGCGCGUUGAGCCUCACCGUGUUCUUGA
rnacentral:lncRNA from 1 species